CGUCGUUACAGUGAAGGGCUAUCAACAUUUGAAACAAUAACAAACAGUCAACAGCAAAUGGAAUGUAAAUGUCUUCUGAGGAUGCAGAAGAUCUUUUACAUGAUUCAGUUAUUGAAUUAUUUGACUUAUCUGAUUAUUCUUCAACUUUACCAAACGAUGCUAAAGAAAGAUAUGUUGCUAAGCUUAAUGAAGUACAGUGUGACUGUCCUUACGUCAUAGAAAAUGAGUAUUAUUUGUAAGUUUUAAUGCCUUGAACUAAAAAAACAGCCCAUCUCCAAAAAUUA